rnacentral:rRNA from 1 species
GAUGAACGCUAGCGGGAGGCCUAACACAUGCAAGCCGAGCGGUAUUGUUUCUUCGGAAAUGAGAGAGCGGCGUACGGGUGCGGAACACGUGUGCAACCUGCCUUUAUCUGGGGGAUAGCCUUUCGAAAGGAAGAUUAAUUCUCCAUAACAUAUUGAACGGCAUCGUUUGAUAUUGAAAGCUCCGGCGGAUAGAGAUGGGCACGCGCAAGAUUAGCUAGUUGGUGAGGUAACGGCUCACCAAGGCGAUGAUCUUUAGGGGGUCUGAGAGGGGGAUCCCCCACACUGGUACUGAGACACGGACCAGACUCCUACGGGAGGCAGCAGUGAGGAAUAUUGGUCAAUGGGUGCAAGCCUGAACCAGCCAUCCCGCGUGAAGGACGACUGCCCUAUGGGUUGUAAACUUCUUUUGUAUAGGGAUAAACCUACCCUCGUGAGGGUAGCUGAAGGUACUAUACGAAUAAGCACCGGCUAACUCCGUGCCAGCAGCCGCCCGUAAAAC